GACGAACGCUGGCGGCGCGCCUAACACAUGCAAGUCGAACGAGCGAGAGAGAGCUUGCUUUCUCGAGCGAGUGGCGAACGGGUGAGUAACGCGUGGGGAACCUGCCUCAAAGAGGGGGACAACAGUUGGAAACGACUGCUAAUACCGCAUAAGCCCACGGUGCCGCAUGGCACAGAGGGAAAAGGAGCAAUCCGCUUUGAGAUGGCCUCGCGUCCGAUUAGCUAGUUGGUGAGGUAAUGGCCCACCAAGGCGACGAUCGGUAGCCGGACUGAGAGGUUGAACGGCCACAUUGGGACUGAGACACGGCCCAGACUCCUACGGGAGGCAGCAGUGGGGAAUAUUGCACAAUGGGGGAAACCCUGAUGCAGCGACGCCGCGUGGAGGAAGAAGGUCUUCGGAUUGUAAACUCCUGUUGUUGGGGAAGAUAAUGACGGUACCCAACAAGGAAGUGACGGCUAACUACGUA
rnacentral:rRNA from 1 species